UUUAUUAGUUAGAAAAAUCAAGUUAUAAAUAUAAAAACUAACAUAAUACCAUGGACAUAUACAUGCACUUAUUUUUGCAUUGACUUCAUUUCUUGAAGAGCAGAUUAAGGCAUAAAUUUUAGCUAUGAGUAAGGUUUGCCAAGAGGAGGAGGGUUAUGGUGUGCCACUUUCCUUGAAAUAUUUCUCUUCUUAUCUCAUCGUAUCACAAUUUUAGUGGCUGUAGAAGAUAAUUUAUCUUUUUAUACUAGGAGAUACAUUAUUCUCUUCUCACGAUCUAUUCUCAGUUCAGUCAUGACUAGACAGCCACUGAUUCAUGUGAAUCUUUGUUUUUUCUUCACUACAGUUUUGUGUGCAAAGGCUAAAUGUUCAUUCCAAUGGUUGUAUCACCCUCGUGUAGUUUUUUAUCUUGUGUAAACCAUGUUGCAGAAAGGAAAUAAAGCAUUAACUUUUUUGUUUUAGAA